UAUAUUUUUUUUUCUUUCCUGUUGGGUGUUCAAAAGGCAGUGCAAUAGGAACUCACUAUCUGGCAUCAUUGAUUUCUUGGCUUUGUGCAUGUUAAACCUGGUAUUUCUAAUGACAUAGUC